rnacentral:rRNA from 1 species
GCGCAGGCGGUUUCUUAAGUCUGAUGUGAAAGCCCCCGGCUCAACCGGGGAGGGUCAUUGGAAACUGGGAGACUUGAGUGCAGAAGAGGAGAGUGGAAUUCCACGUGUAGCGGUGAAAUGCGUAGAUAUGUGGAGGAACACCAGUGGCGAAGGCGACUCUCUGGACUGUAACUGACGCUGAGGCGCGAAAGCGUGGGGAGCAAACAGGAUUAGAUACCCUGGUAGUCCACGCCGUAGACGAUGAGUGCUAGGUGUUAGGGGUUUCGAUGCCCUUAGUGCCGAAGUUAACACAUUAAGCACUCCGCCUGGGGAGUACGACCGCAAGGUUGAAACUCAAAGGAAUUGACGGGGGCCCGCACAAGCAGUGGAGCAUGUGGUUUAAUUCGAAGCAACGCGAAGAACCUUACCAGGUCUUGACAUCCUUUGACCACUCUGGAGACAGAGCUUUCCCCUUCGGGGGACAAAGUGACAGGUGGUGCAUGGUUGUCGUCAGCUCGUGUCGUGAGAUGUUGGGUUAAGUCCCGCAACGAGCGCAACCCUUGACCUUAGUUGCCAGCAUUCAGUUGGGCACUCUAAGGUGACCGCCGGUGACAAACCGGAGGAAGGUGGGGAUGACGUCAAAUCAUCAUGCCCCUUAUGACCUGGGCUACACACGUGCUACAAUGGAUGGUACAAAGGGCAGCAAAGCCGUGAGGUGGAGCCAAUCCCAUAAAGCCAUUCUCAGUUCGGAUUGCAGGCUGCAACUCGCCUGCAUGAAGCCGGAAUUG